UGGUGCGUAUCUUGAAUGUCAAAACGACUCUCGGCAACGGAUAUCUCGGCUCUCGCAUCGAUGAAGAACGUAGCGAAAUGCGAUACUUGGUGUGAAUUGCAGAAUCCCGUGAACCAUCGAGUCUUUGAACGCAAGUUGCGCCCGAAGCCUUCGGGCCGAGGGCACGCCUGCCUGGGCGU
rnacentral:rRNA from 3 species